ensembl:lncRNA
CGGGUAUGUUCAUCCCGUAACCCAGAACAGUAUUUUAAACAACAUUAUGUCUUUGGGGAGCAUAGAUCAAUGCAUUCACAAGGUGCCCUUAAAGGCACCAUGAAUAGCCGUGCAUGGCGCUGUAGGUGCGCAUUUUUUGUUUUUUGUUUUUCCGGGCGUGGAUGGCGUAACUAAACGGUAACGGUUACUAACUGGUGUUAGCGUGGCAGGUGAAGGAGGAGACGGAGUGUGUGGGGAUUUGACGGGAUUUCGUGAUCUGUAAAGGAGGAUGAAGAUGCUGCUGCUGCUGCUGCUCCUCAUCAACGUUUCCCAGCAUGCCCUGGCUGUUGUGGUGGAGGUGUAUGAAGGAGAAAGAUCUGUCCUGCUGCCCUGUCAGUUCUCUGGUUUUAUUCCUGAGGACCCCACAGUGAUGUGGACUCGCUCUGAUCUCGAUCCCAAAUCUGUGCACCUACAACGAGAUGAAGAUGAUCUUAGAGGGCAAAACCAGCGUUACAGCGGGCGCACAUCAAUGAAUCCUGAUGCUCUGAACUCUGGAAACUUCAGCCUCACUCUGAGAACACCAAUAAAGACUGACAGCAGCAACUACACCUGCUCCAUCAGUGAUGGACGAGAAGAACUGAGACUUACAGAUAUACAGCUGCAGGUCAAAGACCAACAGGUGGAGGUGGAGGUGGAGGAAGGCUCAGAGUCUGUCAUCCUGCCCUGCAAAACAAAACCUGACCUGCCUGAGGACACCAGAGUGGAGUGGACUCACUCUGACCGAGAACUUGUGAUGGUCCAUGUGUUUUCAAACAGAAGUGACCACUUUGAGAACCAAGACAACCUUUAUUGUGGUCGCACAAAGAUGAACAAAGACCUGCUGAGAACUGGAGACCUCAGUCUGACCCUGAAAUACCCCACAGAGAGAGACAGUGGAGGAUACAUCUGCACCAUCUACAGGGACAAAGACAUCCUGAGACAGAAAGUAGUGCUGCACCAUAUCAGAAAACAGCUUCCGUCCUGGGCCACAGCUCUCCUGGUUCUCCUGGUUCUUCUUCUGGUUUCUGGAGGUCUUAUUUCAUUUCCGGCACUAUUUCAUGUCAGUUUACCAGGUGGAGGUGGAUUUAUGCGCAGAGUCUGUCCAGCUGCCCUGCAAAACCAUGCUUCACCUGCCUAAAGAUGCUAAAGUGGAGUGGAAGGACAAAUAUGACAGGAAGGUCCACGUAUAUCAGAACGGUUCGGACCAUCCUGGAGAACAGGACGAGGUUUACAGAGAUCGAACACAGAUGAACACGCUGAAAAUGGGAGACCUCAGCCUGACUCUGAAAUACGGCAGAGACACUGAC